GUGGCCAGGGAGCCGCAGGCAAGGGACUAAGGGGAGGGGGGCUCAGUGCCAGCUGCUUAAAAAUGCCCCUGUGGCAGCGAGGGGCACCAGAGGCUGGGUCUAAUUAGUUGAGAAGCAGUGACACCCCCAACCACUCCCCAAACAGGCUGGCUCCCGUCUCCAGGCCCCAAGGAGCCACACCUGGACCAGACCCCAGGAAAGACAUGUGGUGGAAACCCUACGGCCCUGGAGCCCAAGGAGAGCAACGGCUGUAACAAGUGCACAGGCAAGGGCGCUAGCUGGUGGGAGCCACCCCGCCAUGCUGAUGUCAGAGAAGCAAGAACUCUGGAGAAGCAGCCUCCUGGGACCAGAGGAGGGCCAGCAGCAGGCAGCCCGGAGACAGAACUAAUGUGUCUGGGGGUGAGAGGACGGGUGUGACUGCUGAAACUUCCUUUCUUGGUGAUUCCACAUCACUCCUUUCUGAUCCCUGAGCCUGUGCCACGCCCUGUGUGAUGUGCCGGGGACACCAGGCUCACCCACGCCUCUCCAAGCCUCCCAACAGAAGACAGAGGUCCCCCACAGCCAGAGACAUUUCCUGAAGACAUGGGGAACACAGAGGCAGAAACAGCCCAUCCACCCAGGAGCUGUCCCCCACACUGCCGGGAGCCGGCACCCAGAGCCGCCAGACACAAAGGAACAGAACGAGGCACCAACAGCAAGGGGCAAGCAGAUUCAAGGGCCACAGAGGAGAUGGAGGCAAACACCUUCCCCUGGUCAGAGGCUGUGCCUCAGCCCUUCUCCCUGCAUCAGUUUCUCCUUCAGAAGCAUGGGACUACCUCCCAUCUAGUUCUCGUUUCUAAACCUAGGGGAGAUGCUAUCUUUGCUGCAAUAAUCUUAGCCUACAUCUUGGAAUGGAAAUGGCCUUGGUGGAAAUGGUCUUCAACUCCUCUGGUCCAAGCUCAGGCCCUGUGACCCUGGAACAAUCCCCUUCCUGGUCCUCCAUGUAGGAGCAAUAACAUUCCCUUGCCAGCAGCACCAGCCAUUCUGAUGAUUAAAUGGUAUCGGACUCUGUUUUCCAAA
ensembl:lncRNA CARMN cardiac mesoderm enhancer-associated non-coding RNA